CGAGCCGGCCGGGCGGCCGCGUCGACGCCGGCAACGGCGUCGCCGAGGAAAGUCCGGACUCCACAGGGCAGGGUGGUGGGCAACACCCACCCGGGGCGACCCGCGGGACAGUGCCACAGAAAGCAGACCGCCGCCGGUCGGGCGACCGCCCGGCGGUAAGGGUGAAACGGUGGUGUAAGAGACCACCAGCGCCCGGGGUGACCCGGGCGGCUCGGCAAACCCCACCCGGAGCAAGGCCAGACAGGGAGCGCCCGAGGGCUGCCCGCCCGAGCUCCCGGGUAGGCCGCACAUGAGGUCACCGGCAACGGUGGCCCGAGAUGGAUGGCCGCCGCCCACGACCCUUGCGGUCGCGGGCACAGAAUCCGGCUUACAGGCCGGCUCGUCCC
rnacentral:RNase_P_RNA from 1 species